rnacentral:rRNA from 1 species
AAUCGAACCCGGAGAUAGCUGGUUCUCCCCGAAAUAGCUUUAGGGCUAGCGUCGAGAGAAGAGUUGCGUGAAGGUAGAGCACUGAAUAUGUGAUGGCCCCAUCUCGGGGUACUGAGCAUAAUCAAACUGCGAAUGUCACGCCAACAUGCUCGGCAGUCAGACAGCGGGUGAUAAGGUCCGUUGUCAAGAGGGAAACAGCCCAGACCAUCAGCUAAGGUCCCAAAAUGUAUGCUAAGUGGAAAAGGAUGUGGAGAUGUACAGACAACUAGGAGGUUGGCUCAGAAGCAGCCAUCCUUUAAAGAGUGCGUAACAGCUCACUAGUCGAAUGACUCUGCGCCGAUAAUUUACCGGGGCUAAGCAUACUACCGAAGCUAUGGAUCCCAAGGGAUGGUAGGGGAGCGUUCCAUGAACGGAGAAGUACGACCGAAAGGACGUGUGGAGAUCAUGGAAGAGAGAAUGCCGGUGUGAGUAGCGGAACGUGGGUGAGAAUCCCACGCACCGAAAACCCAAGGUUUCCAGAGGAAGGUUCGUCCGCUCUGGGUAAGUCGGGACCUAAGGCGAGGCCGAAAGGCGUAGUCGAUGGACAACAGGUAGAGAUUCCUGUACCCGUAUAUAUGUGAAGGAAUGACGGAGAGAGGAAGCUGCAGCCAGCGGCUGGAAGAGCUGGUGCAAGCGAGAUAUCGGGAUGGCAGGCAAAUCCACCAUCCGAAACGAGAAGGCGUGAAGCGUACGGAAAGCUACGGCGAGUACGGAAGGCAGUGGAGGAACUUCCAAGAAAAGUUUCUAACGUUAAGUAUAUAUGGCCCGUACCGAAAAUGGACACACAUGGGUGAGGAGAGAAUCCUAAGGUGAGCGAGAGAACUAUAGCUAAGGAACUCUGCAAAAUGACUCCGUAACUUAGGGAGAAGGAGUGCUCAUAGAGAUAUGAGCCGCAGUGAAACGGCCCAAGCGACUGUUUACCAAAAACACAGCUCUCUGCUAAGCCGCAAGGCGAAGUAUAGGGGGUGACGCCUGCCCGGUGCUGGAAGGUUAAGGGGAGGGGUUAACGCAAGUGAAGCCCUGAACUGAAGCCCCAGUAAACGGCGGCCGUAACUAUAACGGUCCUAAGGUAGCGAAAUUCCUUGUCAGGUAAGUUCUGACCCGCACGAAAGGCGUAACGAUUUGGGCGCUGUCUCAGCUGUAGACUCGGUGAAGUCUUAGUACCUGUGAAGAUGCAGGUUACCCGCGACUAGACGGAAAGACCCCAUGGAGCUUCACUGCAGGUUGAUAUUGGGAUUUGAUGCAGCAUGUACAGGAUAGGUAGGAGGCAAAGAGAUGGAUACGCCAGUAUUCAAGGAGCCGCUGUUGGGAUACUACCCCUGUUGUAUUGGAUUUCUAACCGGACGACGUAGAGCCGUUGACGGGACAGUGUCAGUCGGGCAGUUUGACUGGGGCGGUCGCCUCCCAAAGAGUAACGGAGGCGCCCAAAGAUACCCUCAGCUUGGAUGGAAACCAAGCGCAGAGUGCAAAGGCAAAAGGGUGUUUGACUGCGAGACCUACAAGUCGAGCAGGGACGAAAGUCGGGCUUAGUGAUCCGGCGGUGCUGAAUGGAAAGGCCGUCGCUCAACGGAUAAAAGCUACCCUGGGGAUAACAGGCUGAUCUCCCCCAAGAGUUCACAUCGACGGGGAGGUUUGGCACCUCGAUGUCGGCUCAUCGCAUCCUGGAGCUGUAGCAGGUUCCAAGGGUUGGGCUGUUCGCCCAUUAAAGCGGUACGCGAGCUGGGUUCAGAACGUCGUGAGACAGUUCGGUCCCUAUCUGUCGUGGGCGCAGGAAAUUUGAGAAGAGCUGUCCUCAGUACGAGAGGACCGGGAUGGACGCAUCAAUGGUGGACCAGUUGUCACGCCAGUGGCAUAGCUGGGUAGCUAAAUGCGGAAGGGAUAAACGCUGAAGGCAUCUAAGUGUGAAACCCACUUCAAGAUGAGAUUUCCCAUUGC